rnacentral:lncRNA from 1 species
CCCUGCCUCCAUGCCCCAACACUCUUAUCCACUGUGCCACCUAAUUGCCUACAUAUACAUAUACACACAUACAUCUUUGUGUGUGUGUAUGUGUGUGUGUCAUGUGCUGAGAUCCUCUGCCCUCAUUUUUUCCAUUCUUCUCUGUCUUUUAUAGGCUGGUUCGUUGAGCCAAAUCUGCACUUUCAUGAUGACAGAUGGACAAAGGGAAACGCAGACAAGACAGUAUUAAUGCUACAACUCCUUCUCAGACUUGAAAGGAAGAAGAGCUCCAGUCAACAGCAUGAUUCAUCUCUUCAUUCUACAGCACCGAACAUUCUUGGGAGAUCUCCCACAUAAGCCGUGGUGUGAUCCAAUCUUGUAGCGUCAAACGAUUUCCAAGUCCAAAAUGAUGUAAACACACAUUCAGAGCAAAAGUAGACAUGCGGAGACAUAAAUAAAGGGAAGAAGGAAGGCUCUGAGACCA